rnacentral:rRNA from 1 species
AGUGAACGCUGGCGGUGUGCCUAAUACAUGCAAGUCGAGCGGACGCACGAUAAGCUCUCGCUCUUACGGGUAGCGAGGGACGGACGGGUAAGACAUAGAUAGCCUUCUAAUUUUACUUGGGUGAUUUCGUGGAACCAGUUCCGCUACUAGAUCAUAUGUUCUACGGGAUGGUUCAAGAGUGCUUGACGCUUUUGCUGUUACUUAGAGAUGGAUCCGUGUUGCAUUAGCUAGUUGGUAAGGUAACGGCCAACCAAGGCGACGAUGCGUAGCUGAUCUGAGAGGAUGAUCAGCCACACUGGAACUGAGACACGGUCCAGACUCCUACGGGAGGCAGCAGUGGGGAAUAUUGGACAAUGGGCGAAAGCCUGAUCCAGCCAUACCGCGUGAGUGAAGAAGGCCUUCGGGUUGUAAAGCCCUGUUGUUGGGAAAGAAAAGCAGCAGGUUAAUACCCCGCUGUUUUGACGGUACCCAAAGAAUAAGCACCGGCUAACUUCGUG